UCUCGUACGAUCACCGAAGUUAAGCAAUGUCGAGCCGGGUCAGUACCUAGAUCGGUGACGACUUGAGAAUACCCGGUGCUGUAUG